rnacentral:snRNA from 1 species
AUCGCUUCUCGGCCUUUUGGCUAAGAUCAAGUGUAGUAUCUGUUCUUAUCAGUUUAAUAUCUGAUAUGUCCUCUAUCUGAGGACUCUAUAUUAAAUGGAUUUUUGGAACUGGGAGAUGGAAUAGGGGCUUGCUCCGUCCACUCCACGCAUCAACCUGGUAUUGCAGUACCUCCAGGAAUGGUGCACCUCCC